rnacentral:sRNA from 1 species
AAAAAAAAAGGAAAAAAAAUG